rnacentral:rRNA from 1 species
AACGAACGCUGGCGGCAUGCCUAACGCAUGCAAGUCGAACGAGACCUUCGGGUCUAGUGGCGCACGGGUGCGUAACGCGUGGGAACCUGCCCUUAGGUUCGGAAUAACUCCCCGAAAGGGGUGCUAAUACCGGAUAAUGUCUUCGGACCAAAGAUUUAUCGCCUUUGGAUGGGCCCGCGUUGGAUUAGCUAGUUGGUAGGGUAAAAGCCUACCAAGGCGACGAUCCAUAGCUGGUCUGAGAGGAUGAACAGCCACACUGGGACUGAGACACGGCCCAGACUCCUACGGGAGGCAGCAGUGGGGAAUAUUGGACAAUGGGCGAAAGCCUGAUCCAGCAAUGCCGCGUGAGUGAUGAAGGCCUUAGGGUUGUAAAGCUCUUUUACCCGGGAUGAUAAUGACAGUACCGGGAGAAUAAGCUCCGGCUAACUCCGUG